rnacentral:rRNA from 1 species
AGAGUUUGAUCAUGGCUCAGAUUGAACACUGGCGGCAGGCCUAACACAUGCAAGUCGAACGGUAACAGGAAACAGCUUGCUGUUUCGCUGACGAGUGGCGGACGGGUGAGUAAUGUCUGGGAAACUGCCUGAUGGAGGGGGAUAACUACUGGAAACGGUAGCUAAUACCGCAUAACGUCGCAAGACCAAAGAGGGGGACCUUCGGGCCUCUUGCCAUCAGAUGUGCCCAGAUGGGAUUAGCUAGUAGGUGGGGUAACGGCUCACCUAGGCGACGAUCCCUAGCUGGUCUGAGAGGAUGACCAGCCACACUGGAACUGAGACACGGUCCAGACUCCUACGGGAGGCAGCAGUGGGGAAUAUUGCACAAUGGGCGCAAGCCUGAUGCAGCCAUGCCGCGUGUAUGAAGAAGGCCUUCGGGUUGUAAAGUACUUUCAGCGGGGAGGAAGGGAGUAAAGUUAAUACCUUUGCUCAUUGACGUUACCCGCAGAAGAAGCACCGGCUAACUCCGUGCCAGCAGCCGCGGUAAUACGGAGGGUGCAAGCGUUAAUCGGAAUUACUGGGCGUAAAGCGCACGCAGGCGGUUUGUUAAGUCAGAUGUGAAAUCCCCGGGCUCAACCUGGGAACUGCAUCUGAUACUGGCAAGCUUGAGUCUCGUAGAGGGGGGUAGAAUUCCAGGUGUAGCGGUGAAAUGCGUAGAGAUCUGGAGGAAUACCGGUGGCGAAGGCGGCCCCCUGGACGAAGACUGACGCUCAGGUGCGAAAGCGUGGGGAGCAAACAGGAUUAGAUACCCUGGUAGUCCACGCCGUAAACGAUGUCGACUUGGAGGUUGUGCCCUUGAGGCGUGGCUUCCGGAGCUAACGCGUUAAGUCGACCGCCUGGGGAGUACGGCCGCAAGGUUAAAACUCAAAUGAAUUGACGGGGGCCCGCACAAGCGGUGGAGCAUGUGGUUUAAUUCGAUGCAACGCGAAGAACCUUACCUGGUCUUGACAUCCACGGAAGUUUUCAGAGAUGAGAAUGUGCCUUCGGGAACCGUGAGACAGGUGCUGCAUGGCUGUCGUCAGCUCGUGUUGUGAAAUGUUGGGUUAAGUCCCGCAACGAGCGCAACCCUUAUCCUUUGUUGCCAGCGGUCCGGCCGGGAACUCAAAGGAGACUGCCAGUGAUAAACUGGAGGAAGGUGGGGAUGACGUCAAGUCAUCAUGGCCCUUACGACCAGGGCUACACACGUGCUACAAUGGCGCAUACAAAGAGAAGCGACCUCGCGAGAGCAAGCGGACCUCAUAAAGUGCGUCGUAGUCCGGAUUGGAGUCUGCAACUCGACUCCAUGAAGUCGGAAUCGCUAGUAAUCGUGGAUCAGAAUGCCACGGUGAAUACGUUCCCGGGCCUUGUACACACCGCCCGUCACACCAUGGGAGUGGGUUGCAAAAGAAGUGGGUAGCUUAACCUUCGAGAGGGCGCUUACCACUUUGUGAUUCAUGACUGGGGUGAAGUCGUAACAAGGUAACCGUAGGGGAACCUGCGGUUG